GUGGGGGUGAUCAGGAAUUCUGAGAUUUGUAAGCGCUGCUUUCUUUAACGGAAAUUGAGCCCUAUUUUGAGGGAAAUUAGUUUUGCAGACUUCGUUAAAAAAAAAAAAAAAAAAAAAGCUAAAACUUUUGUUCACCAGCUGCUCAGCUUUUCAGUCUGGGUCUGAGCUGGAACCUGCUGCAAGCUUUUGACGUGGUUUAGAGGGAGCAAAGCAACUGAGAAAUGAAUGGAUUUGAAUUUAACCAGUGUGCUUCAGGUGAAAUACCAGAAUGCCCUGACCUUUUAUUCGAUCUGCACAUCAUUUCUGCACACAACUUCCAGGGCAGGGGAUGCUGCAUGCUCCAUACAUACUGACUCAUCAAAUGUGGAAGGAAUGAUGCAUUUGAAGGGAUUAUUCUUCCCUUUUCCUUCUGUUUUAGUUUGGGAAUGUGGAUAGUCAGUAAUGCCUGUGACGACCAAUUGGAAGAGAAGAAAUCAUUGUAGUCUUCACCAUCAAUGUGUGACUCUGUCUUAAAGAGAAUAUACUGGGGAUCCUGGGUGGCUCAGUGGUUUAGCGCCUGCGUUAGGCCCAGGGUGUGAUCCUGGAGACCCGGGAUCGAGUCCCAUGUUGGGCUCCUGCAUGGAGCCUAUUUCUCCUUCUGCCUAUGUCUCUGCCUCUCUCUCUCUCUCUCUCAUGAAUAAAUAAAUAAAAUCUUUUUAAAAAUAAAUAAAAAAUAACAAAAGAAUAUACUGCAAUCCUACUCAGCCUUGAUUUUGGAAAGCCCUCCCCUUCCCCCAGGCUGAGGCACGUGGUCAAAAGAACAUGAGCACAGGACAGGUAACCAAUUCCUCUUAAUUUAUCUUUAAUUCCCGGUAUUUUCUUACUAAAUUCCCAUUGCUCUAAACUCAAUUCUCCCUUGAUUGGAACAAGUGAUCUGAAACAGGUCCUACAUACAUAUUACAUGUUAAAAAGAUACUACUAGUAUUAAUAAAAAAUAGGAGGAUAACGAUCUACACCUCCCGUAACAACAGAAGAGAUAAUAGCACUUUCAUGCCUUACGACUGCCUAAUUGGUGAAGCAUCUCUUGAGACCUUAAUUUUGGUGUUCGUGGGGCGGUAAAGGGAAAAGGGGCCGCCGCCAAGCUGCCACUGGCACUCAGACGGUGUUGGACACCGAAACCUUCAGGCUAUAUAUUCUGAGCGCCGGUGGCCAAUUUCAGCACUGUGUAAACUGACCACUCAGCAGAGAAAUCUGGUUGCGAAUUAAACGUAUUGAGGAUCUGGCUUAAGGAGCAUAUGCUAGAAGGUGCGACUAAGAGAAAAGGGGGAAUUACCAGAGUGAUUCGGGAGGCCCCAGCCCGCGGCCACGGGGCCAGGAACCCGCAGGGCGCCGGCCUCGCCCCCGUGAGCACGCGCGGCCCGCUCCCCUGGCCGACGACCACGGCUGCAAGAACUGCCACGGCGCAGAGGCCCACCUGGCGCACACGCGCGUCGCCUGCGCCCACACCCGGACGCCCCUGAGGUCUACUAAAGCCCUGAUGGGCGUAGACCGCGUCACUUCCGCCCGGCGCGUUGCAGGCUGGGAAGGAAGCCUCACGCCGGAAGCCGGCCUACGUGGCCCGCUCUUCCGCGCAGGGCUUGGCACCCCUGGGACAGCGUCAGAGACCAAGCGCCCGAGUGGCCCCGGGCCUGGCAGGAUGGCAGCCCAGGGCCUUCUGCUCAGGCCGCGGCAUCUCACCCUUGAGCGGACCUGCUUGUCCUUGCAGAUGACGCCCCCUCGCCAUUCAGAAAAGGCGUCCGCCCCCCCCCCCCCCCCCCAAGAGGACCACAGCGACUGCCGUGUGCUUACCUGCGUCGCCGUCAAGCAGUCUUACUACUGUUCCUCGCAGGCCGCCGGACGUGUGACGUGAGCCGGCUGACACACGGCGUCCGGAAGACCACUGUCCUGCGCCAGCUUCUCUAUCCGGGAGCGAGGGUUGGCUUGUCCGCUCUGGCAGAGACGGGACGACCCCCCGCUCGGGCCCGGGCUGUCCGUGACUCGUGGUCCUAGGAACGCCGCCACGCAGAGAUACCUGCAGUGCGGCCUGCUGCAGCCCCGCCCGGACCCCGGGCCCUUAGAGGAGUCCAGGUUGAUGAACCAGCCUCAACAGCCUGGAGCUGAGGAGCAGCCCAUGGGCUCCUGGCGACUUUCCGGUUCCCGGGAGCCCUUGCUAAGUUGCAUUCAGAUUAGUUCGGGAGGGAUCCCCGGGUGGCUCAGCCGUGCAGCGCCUGCCUUCGGCCCAGGGCGUGAUGCUGGAGUCGCGGGAUCGAGUCCUGCAUCAUCGGGCUCCCUGUGUGGAGCCUGCUUCUCCCUCUGC